rnacentral:misc_RNA from 1 species
UUUUAUAACAAACAUAAUUGAAAAGUGAAGAACAGAUUGGCUGAAGGCAAUGAAGCCCAUAUGAAAUUAGCAUAUUAUCUCAUCCACAGUUGAUAUUAUAUCUUACAUAUUAAAGAAUAUUGCGCAUAACUGACCAGUCACUGACGUUGAAAUAUAUUUAGUUUGCCCUUAAAUUAAUUUAUAAAGAUAUCUGUCCACUUCCAAUUUUACUUCAGAAAUACAAAAAUCUUUGGUUGGAUAUAUCUAUAACUUUUGAAAAUGUCUACAAAACAUUUAACAGUUGGUUCUGUAGAGCCUCCAAGAACUGAGGGCCUUCUCAGGCUCUAUUCCAUGAAAUUCUGUCCUUAUGUCCAGCGAGUUAAAUUAGUCCUGAAAGCGAAAAACAUUCCACAUGAUGUUGUAAAUAUUAAUUUGUUCAAAAAACCAGAGUGGUACAGCAAAAUCAAUGAGAAAAAAUUAGUACCAGCCAUUCUUGAUGGUGAUAAAAUUGUGGUAGAAAGCCUGGAUAUUGCUGAUUACCUAGAUAAAAAGUACCCUGAAAACCCACUCUAUCCUGCAGAUCCUGCAGCCAAGCAGCAGAUUAAGGAUAUUAUAAACAAGGCAGGUGUUGCAAUGGGGUUAUUUACAAAUCUCUUAUUGGGAAAAGAAGAACAUCCAGCAGAAGAAUGGGCUAAAUUGUUGCUUGAAGCUCUUCAACCUUUGGAAGAAGCACUUUCACAGAGGGGAACACCGUUCUUUGGUGGAGAUAAACCUGGAAUGGCUGAUUAUAUGAUUUGGCCAUGGGCAGAGAAAGCGGGGUGUAUAGGAAUUAAAUUACAACAGAAACUUCCUUUGAUAGACUCAGACAUCCCAGUUUUAAGGAAAUGGAGAAAAGAUAUGAAGAAUGAUCCAAUUUGCAAGGCGUUAUAUAUUAGUAGUGAGAAGUUUUGGAAGAUUGCCAAAUCAAAAAUUGAUGGAGAGGAACCAGCUUAUGAUGAAGUAUAACAUGGAUACUUAAAUCGAUAGAAAUCACAUUAAACACAUGUAAUAUUUUUCAGAUUAAAUGAUAGAAUAUAUUGUUGCCUAUAUGUUGGCGUAUUUUGUGUAUAUGUAAUCAUAAUCAUUGAUUAUUAUCAUAGGAAGCGUUAUAAUUUUAUAAAUUAUAUUUUUUAAUAAUUUUCCAUUAGGUAUUAUACCAUAAGUUUUAGGUUCCUUGAACUAUGAAAAUAAUCUUUUUUAUUGUCUAAGAUAAUAUCAUUUUAAUAAAGCUUCAUAUAUUUGAUUU